GUGAUAGGUUUGUGCGCGAGCGUUCGUGUCAGUGAAGUAAUCACAAUUUCAUGCAAUUCGCAGUCAGUUUCUGGAAUUAGUAACGCUUGCGAUGUAAAAUUUGUCAAUGAAACACUAACAUGACAAGAAAGUGAACUUUUAAAACGAGUCCAUCGUUGUAGUCUAUAACACUGACAAGUCCGAAGAGCAAAUUGUGGAAAAGUUUUUUUAGGGUUGCCAUCGACUGACUGACUGCCAGCCUCCGAAUAUUAAUUUCUACCAUCAAACAGGCAUAGCUAUUAUAAUUUGGAUCAGAGAGGAUGUGAUGGGAAGAUGAUAAUGCUAUUUGAAGACAAAGAUGGACCAUGAUUGAUUGGGAUCUUAAUUAUGCUGUCCUUGAAUGAAAAACGCAAAAAGAGAGCAGCGAACCGAACUGGAAACGGCACACUCCGGGUUUCUUUCAGCUUCCUGCAGCACUGCUUUAGGGAGGCGCCACAGAACACGUUCCAGACGUUUUUCUGAGUAGUAAAUCCAAC
rnacentral:lncRNA from 1 species